UGGGGAAUAUUGCGCAAUGGGGGAAACCCUGACGCAGCGACGCCGCGUGAGCGAUGAAGGCCUUAGGGUUGUAAAGCUCUGUUUUAGGGGACGAAUGUCUAGAUGAGUAAUAUGCGUUUAGACUGACGGUACCCUAAGAGGAAGCCCCGGCUAACUACGUGCCAGCAGCCGCGGUAAGACGUAGGGGGCGAGCGUUGUCCGGAAUUACUGGGCGUAAAGAGCACGUAGGCGGGAACUUAAGUCAGGGGUGAAAGACCGAGGCUCAACCUCGGGGUGGCACUUGAAACUGGGUUUCGUGAGGGCAGGAGAGGAAAGCAGAAUUCCUGGUGUAGCGGUGAAAUGCGGAGAAAUCAGGAGGAAUACCAGUGGCGAAGGCGGCUUUCUGGACUGACCCUGACGCUGAGGUGCGAAAGCGUGGGUAGCAAACA
rnacentral:rRNA from 1 species